ACAUAUCAAUUAGAUAUUUGCUAUAGUAAAAUAUUUUUACUCAGAGAUGUGCUCAUUAGGAUAUGACAUGCAUCCGACGAAGUAGGUAUUCACCCACGAAAGCUCAUGCUCCAAAAGUCUAUGAAGUGCAACAGGACUCUUUGCUGCUUUUACAGAUCCAGAUUAACAUGGUUACCCCUCUGAUAUUCAUUAGGAUAAAAUACAAAGUGUGAAUACAAUAUUCACAUAGAAUCUGACAAGCCCAACUGUCAUGCCCAAUGUAAGUAUUUAAAUAUAUUCAAACAAGACUAUGAAAAUAAACCAUUAGCUGAAAUUUCCAAAGUGAAACUGUUGUGCUGCAAAGUUUAAAAUUUAACAGUAAUCAGUCAAUGGUGAAGUAAUAGAACACUGACCUAGUAUGUAUACACCAUAGGAUACACACACGCUUUAAUAGGGCCAAUUUCUCAAAGUUUAACACAACUAUGGUCACAAGUGAGUGGGAGGAAAAAUUUAAACAAUACAAAUGUGAACUAUAUUUAGGAGUUGUUUAAGAAAACGUGACAAGAUGCCCCCCAAUUCCAGUGUCAAUAAAGAAUGGAUUCUUUGGUUAAAAAAAAAAAUCCUAAUUAAGAAAGAGAAAUGCAAGCAGCAAUAAAAAAAAAUCAUAAAUCAACAGAAAGGGGAAGUCAACAAGAAAGACUAAAAAUUAUCAGUUAUUAAAUACAGGCAAUUGACAGGAAAAGCUAAAAGUAUAAAUGAAAAAAAAGCUACCACCAGUAGGAUUAACAAGAAGUAGUAAUUUUGUAAAUAUCAGGAACAUAAGAAAACCUAGCACUGGUAUCAGUCAGCUAUCCAACAGAGAUGGAAAAGCUGUUGAUAAAGAAGAGGCAGAUGUAGUCAGUACAUUUCUGCUCUGCAUUUGGAAAGAAGCCAGAUGAUGUAUUCACAGCUUACACUGAUAAUGAAAUACUUUCUAUUGAAAAAUGUGACUAGGGAGGGUGUUAAACAGUAUCUUGCAUCCAGGAGGAGGUUUAAAAAUACUGGCUGAUAAGCUCUGGCCCACUGAUAUUGAUAUUUAAGGUAUCUUGGUGUACUGGGAGAGUUCCACAAGACUGAAAAGAGCUGGCGUGCCAACAUUUAGAAAAGGAUCUAAGGAAACCUAAAGAAUGAAUUUGUGCUAAAAGCACCAGUUACUUACCUUCAAUGGAAUAUUAUAUCCAUAGUUGGAUCUAAAGUUAGAAGCUUCUUCUCUAGCUAUGUCUGCCAAAGAACGAGCAUCUGCCAGGAGUCCUGCUACUGCCUGAAAUGAAGAGCAUCACCGGCUAAAGUCAACACUCAGAUAAAUUACCCUAUUUCUUGCAAGGUAAUUGACAAACUUUAGACAACGUCUAAUUCUGUUACUGUGACUUAAACAGGUUUUUAAUGCACCAUACAUCUGCCCUUUCAAAACUGACCAAACCAGACUUUACACCUGUCAACAAGCUGAAAAAAACUUUUUAAAAUUAUUCAAACACACACAUAAUUGAUGUGUUAUUGUAAACCGCAUAAAAUAAAGGUAUACUUUUAA